CGGUGAGAUUUUUCCAGUUUAUCCGUAGUUUAGAUCUGUUUUUACCUAUCGUCUAGAAAAAGCCAAAAAAAAAUUAGAAUUAGUUACCUUGUCCUAGAACCAAUCUGAGCCUUGCAAUUUUCACUUUAGUAUUUGCAUUGUUGAAUCUUUGCUGCAUUAAUCGUGUCGAGUUGCUGGAUUAGAUUGGAUCGUUUUUCAGAUUUUUUCUACUAGAUCGAACUUGCUUUUGGUUUUCUUGUUCUUCGUGUGACGCAGGUUUCCUUCAUCAAUCUUCCGCCGCCAAACUUCCUACCACACCACCGCCAUAAUCUCUCGCCGCCACCAUAUCUUCCACCAAGUCCCUCUUGGAGUCCUACACCGAGUCCCUCAUCGAGUCUUACACCGAGUCCCUCUUCGAGUCCUACACCGAGUCCCUCGUCAAGUCCUACACUGUGUCCCUCUUCGAGUUCUACAUCGAGUCGGCAAAUAAUAGUUUUCAGCCGCGAGUUCGAGUUUGAGUCCAAUAAGGAGUGCUUUUGGAAAGUGUUUCAUCAUAGAUCGAAUUUUGUUUAGAGAUCAAGUUGUUUGGAAAGUUGUAUAAAAAAGAAAGGAAAGAAAGAAAGAAAAAAAACGAAAUAAAAAAGAGAAAGAGUUCAAGUCAGUUUCGAACCCGAGUCCGAAUAGAAUUUUAGUUUCGGGUGGGUUUGACCCGUGUUCAGUAAAAUGGGCGUAUCUUUUGCGUACCAACUCGGAUUUGGACGUUCUUGGAUUUUUUGGAAAGCUCACGACGAGGCGCGCCAGAAAAUAUCCAGGGCGUUGCCCUUCAAUUUGACCCUCAAAUUCGGUUUGUAAGGUGGACUUUCGGAGCUUCCAAGUUUCUGCAUCCGUUUUCCGGCGUCGCUACAGCCCGGUGUUUCUCAGUUUUCUCCACCGUCCGACAUCCGUUUUGAGUGAUCUUGCCCUUGCUGGAAAGCUUGUGUCGAUACCCUUCUAACCCAUAUUUUUCCAUAUUUUUCUGAAUUUUUCUUACUGCAGCCUUUGCUGUUCUUCGACAGACCGACGUACAGUUUUCCGGUCUUUCUUUUGUGUGAGUUUCUGGGGUUAAAAAAGAAAGAACAAAAAAAGAAGAAGAAAAGAAUAAGAAGCCAAACAGAAGGCCACAAAAAGAAAACAAAAGAAAAAAAAUCCUAGGGAUUUACUUGUUGUGCCAUCUUUUGAUCUAUCUAUUCCUACCUUCUUCAGUAUCUAGGCUUAGAUUAUUUCUGUAAUUCGUUCUUAUCGACUCCAGCAGCUAGGACUAGCAUUAUUGAGCGUAUUUUCAACUUUGCAUUGCUGAUUUGAUUAUUUGUUAUUCUUUGCUACUCACAAAAGCCUCCAAGCUCCACAGAUUCUACACCUAGGUUGGUUUCUUACCGAGGCAUCGAUACAUUUAAUCUUCGGAGGGCUUGGUUACGCCGCUGGCCAUCACCUUCCUGUUUUGCAUGGUAAGAACUCGUAAGAACUUGAUUUUUAGCUUGCGAGUUGAGCAACUUGUAGCCACAUCCUAGUAGUUGAUAGGAACAUAUUACUGUGAUUUGUUUCUUGUUUUCUACUAACCAUGACAGGACUUACAUGAAGCAUGGCAACUAGACCGAUGCUAUUUCGUGACCGCGAUGAGUGCUUUUCACCCCGGGCAUCUUCCACGUCUCUUGUUGAUAAUGCCACGGCAACGGUACAA
rnacentral:lncRNA from 1 species